rnacentral:rRNA from 1 species
CCCUUAGAUGUUCUGGGCCGCACGCGCGCUACACUGAUGCAUUGAACGAGUUUCUUCCUGGUCCGAGAGGAAUGGGUAACCUUUUGAAAGUGCAUCGUGAUAGGGAUAGACUAUUGCAAUUAUUGGUCUUCAACGAGGAAUUCCUAGUAGACGUAGUUCAUCAGACUGCAUCGAUUACGUCCCUGCCCUUUGUACACACCGCCCGUCGCUCCUACCGAUUGAAUGCUCAGGUGAGCCAUUCGGACUUUCAUCAUGCUGGUUUCCAGUUUUGAUGAAGGAAAGUCUUGCGAACCUUAUCAUUUAGAGGAAGGAGAAGUCGUAACA